UCGUCUAUAUACGUAUAGCAUAUCAAUAAGCGGAGGAAAAGAAACUAACUAGGAUUCCCUCAGUAACGGCGAGUGAAGCGGGAAGAGCUCAAAUUUGGAAAUCUUCAAGGUUCUACCUUGACGAAUUGUAGUUUAAAGAAGUGUUUUCUGUUGGAGUUUUGGUAAAAGUUCUUUGGAAUAGGACAUCAUAGAGGGUGAGAAUCCCGUAUUUGACCAUUAUUUCCAACUUUGUGAUACACUUUCAAAGAGUCGGAUUGUUUGGGAAUGCAGUCCAAAAUGGGUGGUAAAUUUCAUCUAAAGCUAAAUACUGGCGAGAGACCGAUAGCGAACAAGUACCGUGAGGGAAAGAUGAAAAGAACUUUGAAAAGAGAGUUAAACAGUACGUGAAAUUGUCAAAAGGGAAGCGUUUGACACCAGUGUUGUUUUCUCGAAAAUCAAUUAAAAAUGGCAGGAUUUUGUGUUGUAUUGACUUUAUCAGCUUUCUGCACUUUUUUCUUGUCUUUUUUAUUGCACUUUUCGUUUAACAAGUCAACAUCAAUUUCUUUUGUUGUAAAAGAGGUCAUUGGAAGGUGGCUUUCUUUUCGGAGAAAGUGUUUAUAGCCUUUGACUUCUGCAGUCGGAGAGAUUGAGGUCUGCAGCGUAGAUCCUUCGGGGUUAGAUGCAUUUGUGCUAAGUUAUAGCCUUUCAUAGACAACUUGUUGACUAUGAUCAGUCAUGUAGCUUACUCGCUUAUGUUAUUUUACCUACGCUUAGGAUGUUGACGAUCAGCUGAGCGCG
rnacentral:rRNA from 1 species